UACGAAGGGGGCUAGCGUUGCUCGGAAUCACUGGGCGUAAAGGGGGCGUAGGCGGGUCUUUAAGUCGGGGGUGAAAUCCUGGAGCUCAACUCCAGAACUGCCUUUGAUACUGAAGAUCUUGAGUUCGGGAGAGGUGAGUGGAACUGCGAGUGUAGAGGUGAAAUUCGUAGAUAUUCGCAAGAACACCAGUGGCGAAGGCGGCUCACUGGCCCGAUACUGACGCUGAGGCACGAAAGCGUGGGGAGCAAACAGG
rnacentral:rRNA from 1 species